ACUCUUUUUCUUCUGUUUCCCUUGUCAUCGAAAGUGUCUUAGGUUUUGAUGUGUUCCAUCCUCAUUCUGAAGUCUAAGGCAUAGCUUAUAAUACAUAACUCUACAUGUGCUGUAUCCAUAAAUAUGUGCAUAAAUCCAAGGAGACUUACCUACGUCACCUUCUUUUUACAGCUUGGGUAUGUAAUAUACAGAAGGGUGCUACGCUAUUAUUCGGGAGAGGAAGAUGGGUUAGAAAUGAGGAAAACAUUGUCCAGAGAUGUCGAAAAGAAGUCAUUUAUCCCCCUCAGACGGCCGGUUACACCUGAUUUAUUGGAGUAUGAUUAAAUUUAGAUCCGGUUCCUAUUGAACUUUCGCACAACUAUUUGUUACGUUCAUGUUUUUUUUUUAUGUUGAAAUGCUGUGGGAAAUAAGAGAGCCUUAGGUGUUUUUCAAACAUGAGAUCCAUUAACAUAUUCCUAGUAAUGUAUCAUUCAGUUGUUUCUGU